AUUGAACGCUGGCGGCAGGCUUAACACAUGCAAGUCGAGCGGAGUGAUGGUGCUUGCACUAUCACUUAGCGGCGGACGGGUGAGUAAUGCUUAGGAAUCUGCCUAUUAGUGGGGGACAACAUCUCGAAAGGGAUGCUAAUCCCGCAUACGUCCUACGGGAGAAAGCAGGGGAUCACUCGUGACUGUUCGCUAAUAGAUGAGCGUAAGUCGGAUUAGCUAGUUGGUGGGGUAAAGGCCUACCAAGGCGACGAUCUGUAGCGGGUCUGAGAGGAUGAUCCGCCACACUGGGACUGAGACACGGCCCAGACUCCUACGGGAGGCAGCAGUGGGGAAUAUUGGACAAUGGGGGGAACCCUGAUCCAGCCAUGCCGCGUGUGUGAAGAAGGCCUUAUGGUUGUAAAGCACUUUAAGCGAGGAGGAGGCUCUUUUGGUUAAUACCCAAGAUGAGUGGACGUUACUCGCAGAAUAAGCACCGGCUAACUCUGUGCCAGCCGCCGCGGUAA
rnacentral:rRNA from 1 species